UUUUUUUUUUUGAGACAGUGUUUUGGUCUUGUUGCCCAGGCCGGAGUGCAGUGGUGUGAUCUUGGCUCACUGCAACCUCCACCUCCCGGGUUCAAGUGAUUCUCCUGCCUCAGCCUCCUGAGUAGCUGAGAUUACAGGCACACUCCACCACGCCCAGCUAAUUUUUUGUAUUUUUAGUAGAGACGAGGUUUCAUCAUGUUGGUCAGGCUGGUCUUGAACUCCUGACCUCAGGUGAUCCACCCACCUCGGCCUCCCAAAGUGCAGGGAUUACAGGCAUGAGCCACUGCACCUGGCCUAUACUUUUUAAUAAUCCUUUUUUUUGGCUGGGUGCAGCAGCUCAUGCCCAUAAUCCCAGCACUCUGGGAGGCCAAGGCAGGUGGACUGCUUGAGCUCAGGAGUAGGAGACCAGCCUGGGCAACAUGGUGAGACCCCAUCUCUACUAAAACUACAAAAAUUUGCUGGGCAUAGUGCUGUGCACCUGUGGUCCCAACUACUAGGGAGGCUGAGGUGGGAGGAUCACUUGAGCCCAGGAGGCGGAAGUUGCAGUGAGCUGAGAUGGUGCCACUGUACUCCAGCCUGGGUAACAAGAGUGAGAUCCUGUUUCAAAAAAUAAAAUAAAAUAAUAAUCCUUUGUUACGGUAAUUAACACUUCGAUCACUUUUUAUCCUGUAUUGAAAUUAUUUUGGCCGAGCACGGUGGAUCACGCCUGUAAUCCCAGCACUUUGGGAGGCUGAGGCAGGCGGAUGACCUGAGGUCAGGAGUUCAAGACCAGCCUGGCCAACAUGGUGAAACCCCAUCUCUACUAAAAAUACAAAAAUUAGCCAGGUGUGGUGACAGGUGCCUGUAGUUCCAGCUACUCAGGAGGCUGAGGCAGAAGAAUCGCUUGAACCCGAGAGGCAGAGGUUUCAGAUCAGGAGUGGGAGACCAGCCACUGCACUUCAGCCUGGGUGACAGAGCAAGACUCCGUCUCAAAAAAAAAAAAGAAAAAGAAAAGAAAUUAUUUUAGUAUGUCUAGUCUCUCCAACCAUAAACUUUAAAAACUCUUUAAGGGAGGCUGGGUACAGUGGCUCAUACCUGCAAUCCCAACACUUUGGGAGGCCAAGGCAAGGAUCACUCGAGCCCAGGAAUACAAGACCAGCCUACACAAUAUAGUGAGUCCCCGUCUCUACAGAAAAUAGAAAAAAACUAGCCAGGCAUAGUGGCACAUGCCUGUAGCCCCGGCUACUUGGGAGGCUGAGACAGGAGGAUUGAUUGAGCCUGGAAGGUCAAGGCUGCAGUAAGCCAUGAUUGCACCACUGCACUCCAGCCUGCGUGACAGAGAGAGACCCUGUCUCAAAAAAAAAAAGAAAAAACAAACAAAAAAAACAGCCAGGCGCGGCAGCUCAUGCCUAUAAUCCCAGCACUCUGGGAGGCCAAGGCAGGAGAAUCGCUUGAACCCAGGAGACAGAGGUUACAGUGAGCCGAGAUCACACCACUGCACUCCAGCCUGGAUGACAGAGUGAGAUUCUAUCUCAAAAAAAAAAAAAGUUCCUUAAGGGCAGGGUCCCAUGGUAUAACUCUGUGAUCCCUACAGCCUAACAUUACAGCAAACUUGCAAAUCCGAUAGAAGGGAUGGAAAGGAUACUCAAGGCAAAGCAGAGCCACUCGGCCUAUUCCCUAGAAAGGUUUUGGACAAAUUAUGGUGGAAAAGCCACUAGGAAUUCAGCAUUGUGCUGAAAACAACCCUCUUUGGUAGCCAUAUAUAUAAGUAAAAUAUGUAAUAUUACCUCCAGUUUAUAGUUGAGGAAACCAAAACUUGGCCAGGCGCGGUGGUUCACGCCUGUAAUCCCAGCACUUUGCGAGGCCGAGGCGGGUGGAUCACCUGAGGUCAGGAGUUUGAGACCAGCCUGGCCAACAUGGUGAAACCCUGUCUCUACUAAAAAUACAAAAAGUAGCCGGGUGUGGUGGCAGGCACCUGAGAUCAUGCCACUGCACUCCAGCCUGGGUGACAGAGUGAGACUCCAUCUC
rnacentral:lncRNA from 1 species